AUUGAACGCUGGCGGCAUGCCUUACACAUGCAAGUCGAACGGUAACAGGUCUUCGGAUGCUGACGAGUGGCGAACGGGUGAGUAAUGCAUCGGAACGUGCCCAGUAGUGGGGGGAUAGCCCGGCGAAAGCCGGAUUAAUACCGCAUACGACCUGAGGGUGAAAGGGGGGGAUCGCAAGACCUCUCGCUAUUGGAGCGGCCGAUGUCAGAUUAGCUAGUUGGUGGGGUAAAGGCCUACCAAGGCAACGAUCUGUAGUUGGUCUGAGAGGACGACCAGCCACACUGGGACUGAGACACGGCCCAGACUCCUACGGGAGGCAGCAGUGGGGAAUUUUGGACAAUGGGCGCAAGCCUGAUCCAGCAAUGCCGCGUGCAGGAAGAAGGCCUUCGGUUGUAACUAGCUUUGUUCAGGGAAGGAAAUACUUCUGGGUUAAUACCUCGGGAGGAGUGACGGUACCUGAAGAAUAAGCACCGGCUAACUACGUGCCAGCAGCCGCGGUAA
rnacentral:rRNA from 1 species